rnacentral:rRNA from 1 species
UACAGAGGGGGCGAGCGUUGUUCGGAAUCACUGGGUGUAAAGGGUGCGUAGGCGGUCGGGUAAGUCUGUCGUGAAAUCUCCGAGCCCAACUCGGAAACUGCGUCGGAUACUAUUCGGCUAGAGGAAUGGAGGGGAGACUGGAAUUCUCGGUGUAGCAGUGAAAUGCGUAGAUAUCGAGAGGAACACCAGCGGCGAAGGCGAGUCUCUGGACAUUUCCUGACGCUGAGGCACGAAAGCCAGGGGGAGCAAACGGGG